GCUGCCCCCACCAGCUCCCCCUGGGGCAAGAAGGAGGCUGAAGAAGAGCUGGGGAGCACCAGGAGCAGCAAAGCAUGGCAUCCCGGCAAGCUGCUGCAGAACCGGAAGGAGCUUUCUCACCCCAGGCUGCCAAACUGGGGGGCAGGCGUAAGGUGUCACUGAUUUUAGAGACUACUGUAUUCAUUGAUGUAGCAGUACACUGCUAAGAAAGUAAGAGAGCAGUUGAAUGAUUAACCUAAGGGUAUAUGCAACUCUGAAGCUCCUAACUCUUAAUCUUGUGAAUCCCAUGUAACUGGCACUGAAUUAUAGUUUUGUCUCCCUUCCCUGCCCACUACUUAGUAUUAGGGUGCAGGUCUGUCCCUCCCUUCUCCACCCAUCCCCACCAAGUUUUUGGACAUGACCUGAUAGAGAGCCUGGGGUUGUGCAGGGGUGUCAGCCCCACUACCAUCCAUCGGCAUCCACACGCCUGCCAUCAGAAGAUACCCCGGUGGGGAGAUGCCCCCUCCUUUUUUAUUGGUACACCUUAUUCCCCAUUUUCUCUAAUUCUGGAACCUCCUUUUGUCCACCCAAACAACCAGCCUUCACCUAAUUACUUUUUCCUCCUUGGUCCCAAUUCUACUGCAGUAGAAACAGGAUGCAGAUGCUGAGCAGACAUCUUUUCACACUGACUUCCAAAAUGAAUCCUCUGUUUUUUUCCUUGCAUGAUGGUUGGCCUCUGAGAAAGAUCUGAGCCCAGGGAAGAUUCUUCUUGUAUUUGGGGGGAUCCCGUGCUGGGCAAACUUAGGAGAAAGCAAAGUAUGCCAGAGAGCAAAAGACAUCUGAYGCAGUGGAGAUGCCGUUGGAAGUUCCUGCCCUGCAAAUGGCAAUUACCUCCUCUUCAUUUAUGAUGCUCUCAGUGAUGCCAGAAGGAAAUCGGAGGAGAAGCUGGGAAGUGUAGUGAACCCCUGGUCUGAUGCUGACAUUGGCCUGUGGGCAUGUGGUGGAGAGUCUCCUGGUUCCCUGGCUCCUGCUGCAGGGUCCUUGCCAGAGUUCCUCUGGGAAACAGCUCUGCAAACAGUCUCUGCUGUUUCCUUGGCAGGAAUUCAGCGCUGAAGAGACCUGGGCUCCCCAUCCUGCAGCCCAGCCCAGGAGAAAGGAGCACAAGGAGAGGUGGCAAAGGGCUGAAAACCCUCCGUCAAGGGAGGAGCAGAGAGCAGCAGCCAAGCUGGGGAGAAUGCAGCCUGACCAUCUUUCCCCGUGAGCAGUCCAGAUGCUAAAAAGCUUGGAGCCAUAUAAAAUCCAUUGGGAAAUAUUCAAGCACGUCACUGGGAGGAAUAGAUGGAGGCAAGAGAGCAGAAGCAAUUCCACUGGUAGGUAUCUCCAAAAAGGGAUGGUGCUUCCCCCACUCCAAUGCCCAUGCCACUGACAGCAGCACCAGGGGAAAGAGGGUCUGUCUCUGACAGCCCUCAUGAGAGAGAAGCAGGUUUUUGAGUCUGGCCUUGAACUAGAUAUCCCUGACAUCCAAGGGGGAGUUCUUGGGCACUUAGAAUAGUCUUUCAAUAUGGGACAUAAAAGUCCUGGCUUGAAGGCAUGUGGAUCGCUCUGGUGUUGGGUUCUCCCUUUU
ensembl:lncRNA